rnacentral:rRNA from 1 species
UCCGUAGGUUGCGAGCGUUGUCCGGAAUUAUUGGGCGUAAAGAGCUUGUAGGCGGUUUGUCGCGUCUGCUGUGAAAAUCCGGGGCUCAACCCCGGACUUGCAGUGGGUACGGGCAGACUAGAGUGUGGUAGGGGAGACUGGAAUUCCUGGUGUAGCGGUGAAAUGCGCAGAUAUCAGGAGGAACACCGAUGGCGAAGGCAGGUCUCUGGGCCACUACUGACGCUGAGAAGCGAAAGCAUGGGGAGCGAACAGG